ACAGAAAAGCAGGUAGUUCAGUGUGGUGUGGACGCGCGCCGUGGGAGGACGCAGGCUUCGUUGCUCCGCCAGACACUUGCAAACUCUCCGUCGGUCUCCACGUUGGUAGACGAUCCUGCUCUGGGGUUUUCUCGUGCGUGGUUCAAGUUCCUCGCGGCUCUACGAGUAUCAUGUGCCGAGAGGGGACGCUAGUAGCAUUGGCAAUUUUGCUGUGAAAUACGGAGUGAUGAUAAAUUCUCUUUAUUGUGGUCAGCUCGCUAGGGCAACAGGUGGCGUCCGAGGGGGCACGGGUAUGUAGCCCUUCAGCUACUAUGUGAAUCCUAUGUUUUUUGGUGACGGAUAUAACAACAUUUACUUGCAAAGAAUGUUGCUCUCGUAAUACUGAGUACGGUUUGAGAUCGAUAUAUACGACAGGACUUGUAACCAAACACAAUGUUUUAUUCAAUUUAGCAAUCUCUGAAUGAUCCAAUAAAAAAACAGAUUCUCUCGCACAUUGCUUUCUCGUUUUAUUCUGUAUUUUUUCGUAUAGAAUCAUAAAGACGUCACGUGAUUUUUAGACGAAACAUUCACGCAUUGAGAGAAAAAAAAAUUAAAAGAUAAAAAAUAAAGGUAAAAUAGAGAUUUAAAAAAAUCAGACAUUAAAAAGAUAAACAAAAAACCACUUCUUUUAUUUAGAGCAAAAGUUCGGAGCGAAGACCUUUUCUAAACGCCCCGUGUUAUUCCUCGGCCACGCCAAGUUCACGCCUCAGAAAUCCUACUUUAUUGGGAUGUAAGUCCGGGGAUUACCAUCACCUGCAAUCGCUCUGCAACACGCCCAGGUUCUUCUCACAAACAUGAGCGUUUCUGCAUAACUUCACUUUCAACAACCUUUCAACAUCAGCAUUUCUGCAUAACAAACUGAGGAUCUGGGUUUGACCCUUCAGCUAUCUGGAGAAGAAGCCGUUUUUGUCUCUCCCCGAGCGGCGCCCCGCAUGUCGCAGAGACUCCUUCCCGGCGAGUGAUGCGUGGACCUAAGGCACCUGGAAUGUGUGGGUAGGAAAACCCUUAAUACAACAGACUGGUUCUAUCAUGACGAGCUGGGAAAGUGGGUUUCGGACUAUAAACAGCACCUGAUGGUAUUCAUGCUUCGUCAUAACCAGCUUUCGUAUAGAUAGUGUACUGAGAGGAUAUAAAAUAAAGAGGUAUAUUGAUUAUACUGAUAUUGAUAAAAGAUAAGGAGAAACGGUUAUUUGAAUAACAGUAUUGCCUUUGUAAGACUGUUUCUGUUUUUCUUCCAAGAAGUGCUUUAAAGAGAAAGAAAGUUAAGAAAAGAAAUUCCUUUAGAAAAAAGAAAAUAAAAAAGAGGAGAGGGAGAGAGAGAAAAAAAAACGUAGGACAUUUAAAUCAAUGUGACCGUUGAAUAUCAAGGAGUGACUUUAGAAACAAAAACAAAAGCAAAACCAAUCUAUCCCCAAAAAGUAAUAUAUAGAAAAAAAAAAA